GAUGAACGCUGGCGGCGUGCCUAAUACAUGCAAGUCGAGCGAACAGAUGAGGAGCUUGCUCCUCUGACGUUAGCGGCGGACGGGUGAGUAACACGUGGAUAACCUACCUAUAAGACUGGGAUAACUUCGGGAAACCGGAGCUAAUACCGGAUAAUAUAUUGAACCGCAUGGUUCAAUAGUGAAAGACGGUUUUGCUGUCACUUAUAGAUGGAUCCGCGCCGCAUUAGCUAGUUGGUAAGGUAACGGCUUACCAAGGCAACGAUGCGUAGCCGACCUGAGAGGGGGAGCGGCCACAAGGGAACAGAGCCAGGGCCCAGACCCGGAGGGGAGGGACAAGUGGGGACUCUUCAGAAAGGGGCGAAAGCCGGACGGAGAAACCCCGCGUGAGUGAUGAAGGUCUCCGGAUCGUAAAACUUUUUUAUGAGGAAAGAAAAAAUGUGUAAGUAACUAUGCCCGUCUGGACGGUACCUAAUAAAAAACCCAGGGCUAACUCCGUG
rnacentral:rRNA from 1 species